ACGUAGGUCACGAACGUUAUUCGGAAUCACUGGGCUUAAAGGGCGCGUAGGCGGUUUGAUAAGUUACGGUUGAAAUCCGGCGGCUCACCCGUCGAACUGGCCGUGAUACUGUCGAACUGGAGGUGCGGAGGGAUGCGUGGAACUUGUGGUGGAGCGGUGAAAUGCCCAGAUAUCACAGGGAACACCGGUGGCGAAGGCGAUUCGCUGGGCCUACUCUGACGCUCAGACGCGACAGCAUGGGGAGCGAACGG
rnacentral:rRNA from 1 species